UACGUAGGGUGCGAGCGUUGUCCGGAAUUAUUGGGCGUAAAGGGCUCGUAGGCGGUCUGUCGCGUCGGGAGUGAAAACUCAGGGCUUAACCCUGAGCCUGCUUCCGAUACGGGCAGACUAGAGGUAUGCAGGGGAGAACGGAAUUCCUGGUGUAGCGGUGGAAUGCGCAGGUAUCAGGAGGAACACCGGUGGCGAAGGCGGUUCUCUGGGCAUUACCUGACGCUGAGGAGCGAAAGUGUGGGGAGCGAACAGG
rnacentral:rRNA from 1 species